GACGAACGCUGGCGGCGUGCUUAAGACAUGCAAGUCGUACGAGAAAGUCUCUUCGGAGAUGAGUAAAGUGGCGCACGGGUGAGUAACGCGUGGGUAAUCUGCCCUUAGGUUUGGGAUAACCCCGGGAAACCGGAGCUAAUACCGAAUGAGACCACGAUGACUUCGGUCGAUGUGGGAAAAGGUGGCCUCUUCUUGAAAGCUAUCGCCAAAGGAUGAGCCCGCGUUUGAUUAGCUAGUUGGUGAGGUAAUGGCUCACCAAGGCGACGAUCAAUAGCUGGUCUGAGAGGAUGAUCAGCCACACUGGAACUGAGAUACGGUCCAGACUCCUACGGGAGGCAGCAGUCAGGAAUAUUGGGCAAUGGGCGAAAGCCUGACCCAGCAACGCCGCGUGAAGGAUGAAGGCCU
rnacentral:rRNA from 1 species